rnacentral:rRNA from 1 species
UACGUAGGGUGCGAGCGUUAAUCGGAAUUACUGGGCGUAAAGCGUGCGCAGGCGGUUCGCCAAGUCAGGUGUGAAAUCCCCGGGCUUAACCUGGGAAUUGCGCUUGAAACUAGCGGGCUUGAGUGUGGCAGAGGGGGGUGGAAUUCCACGUGUAGCAGUGAAAUGCGUAGAGAUGUGGAGGAACACCGAUGGCGAAGGCAGCCCCCUGGGUCAACACUGACGCUCAUGCACGAAAGCGUGGGGAGUAAACAGG